rnacentral:rRNA from 1 species
UGGGGAAUAUUGCACAAUGGGCGCAAGCCUGAUGCAGCCAUGCCGCGUGUAUGAAGAAGGCCUUCGGGUUGUAAAGUACUUUCAGUCGGGAGGAAGGUGGUAAGGUUAAUAACCUUACCAAUUGACGUUACCGACAGAAGAAGCACCGGCUAACUCCGUGCCAGCAGCCGCGGUAAUACGGAGGGUGCAAGCGUUAAUCGGAAUUACUGGGCGUAAAGCGCACGCAGGCGGUUGAUUGAGUCAGAUGUGAAAUCCCCGGGCUUAACCCGGGAAUUGCAUCUGAUACUGGUCAGCUAGAGUCUUGUAGAGGGGGGUAGAAUUCCAUGUGUAGCGGUGAAAUGCGUAGAGAUGUGGAGGAAUACCGGUGGCGAAGGCGGCCCCCUGGACAAAGACUGACGCUCAGGUGCGAAAGCGUGGGGAGCAAACAGG